CUCUCUCUCUCAUCAAUUUGUUUGUUGGCAUGGGUAUGUUAAAUCAACUCUCAUUUCUUCAUUUUCGUGUUCUCGGUCACAAAAUUAUUUUGGGUUUUCUUCGAUUCGGUCAUACCAAGAGGAAGUGGUUGAGAUAAUUAUAGAUAGAAGGGAUUCUUUGAUUGUCAUGGGCUCAUGGCCACUGGAAGUGGCAAGUCUUUGUGUUAUCAAGUGUCUUCUUUGGUUGUUGGAAAGACUGAUGUGGUUGUCAGCCCUCUUAUAUCCUUACUACAAGAUCAGGAGAACUGGAGAAGCAUCUUAUAAUGAAGGGAGGAAGUAGCCUCUAGACUUCCUCUAGAGUGUUGGUCGUGUCAUCAUGCUACUGUAACACCAUUACAUAAAAGGAGAAAACUAUAAACUUUGAUUACAUAUUGUGUAGUAUAAUUCAUAUUUUACUUUUGGUAUAUUUAUG